UACGAGGGGGGCGAGCGUUGUUCGGAAUUAUUGGGCGUAAAGGGUGCGUAGGCGGCCUGACAAGUCUGAUGUGAAAUCCCUGGGCUCAACCCAGGGCCUGCAUCGGAAACUGUCGGGCUUGAGUAUGGGAGAGGUGAGUGGAAUUUCCGGUGUAGCGGUGAAAUGCGUAGAUAUCGGAAGGAACACCUGUGGCGAAGGCGGCUCUCUGGGACGGUACUGACGCUGAGACGCGAAAGCGUGGGGAGCGAACAGG
rnacentral:rRNA from 1 species